GAAAGUAAGCAAGGGCAGACGGUGGAUGCCUUGGCUCUCGGAGGCGACGAAGGACGUGAUAAGCUGCGAAAAGCCCGGGGGAGGCGCAAAUAGCCCUUGAUCCCGGGAUAUCCGAAUGGGGCAACCCGGCAGGCUGAAGGCCUGCCAUCCCGUAAGGGAGGCGAACGUGGGGAACUGAAACAUCUAAGUACCCAUAGGAGGAGAAAAUAAACAAUGAUUCCGUAAGUAGUGGCGAGCGAACACGGAAGAGCCCAAACCCAUGUCGUCUAGGCGACACGGGGGUUGUAGGACCACGACGUGGCAAGAUAGAGUCAAGUGGAACGCCUUGGAAAAGGCGACCGUAGAGGGUGAUAGUCCCGUACACGACUGACGAUUGAAGCCUAGUGGCAUCCUGAGUAGCGCGGGGCACGAGAAAUCUUGCGUGAAACUGCGGGGCCCAUCCCGUAAGGCUAAAUACUCCCGAGAGACCGAUAGCGAACCAGUACCGUGAGGGAAAGGUGAAAAGAACCCCGAGCAGGGGAGUGAAAUAGACCCUGAACCCGUCUGCCUACAAGCGGUCGGAGCAUCGUCAAGAUGUGACGGCGUGCCUUUUGCAUAAUGAACCUACGAGUUACCUUCCCCGGCAAGGUUAAGUACCUAAGGUACGGAGCCGAAGCGAAAGCGAGUCUGAAGAGGGCGGCCAGUCGGGGGGGGUAGACGCGAAACCGAGUGAUCUACCCUUGGCCAGGUUGAAGGUUGGGUAACACCAACUGGAGGACCGGAUGGGUAAGCGUUGAAAAGCUUUCCAAUGAGCUGAGGGUAGGGGUGAAAGGCUAAUCAAACUCGGAGAUAGCUCGUACUCCCCGAAAUGCAUUUAGGUGCAGCCUCUUUAUAGUAUAUCGUGAGGUAGAGCGACUGAUUGGAUGCGAGGGCUUCACCGCCUAUCAAGUCCAGAUAAACUCCGAAUGCGCGAUAUAUAUUUAAAGGGAGUGAGGGCGCGGGUGCUAAGGUCCGUGUCCGAGAGGAGAAGAAUCCAGACCACCGGCUAAGGCCCCCAAAUGAUCGUUGAGUUGAACUAACGAGGUCGGAUCGCAGAGACAGCUAGGAUGUUGGCUUGGAAGCAGCCAUUCAUUUAAAGAGUGCGUAACAGCUCACUAGUCGAGCGAUCUGGCGUGGAUAAUAAUCGGGCAUAAACGAUCUGCCGAAGCCGUGGAUGUCGUAAGACAUGGUAGGGGAGCAUUCCAUGCGGCGUCGAAGAUGAGGGAUGACCCUUGUUGGAGCGCAUGGAAAAGCAAAUGUAGGUAUGAGUAACGAUAAGGGGGGCGAGAAACCCCCCCGCCGAAAGACCAAGGUUUCCUGAUCAACGCUAAUCGGAUCAGGGUGAGUCGGGACCUAAGGCAAAGCCGAACGGCGACGCCGAUGGAAGAAUGGGUUAAUAUUCCCAUACUGCCUCAUGGAGUGACGUGGAGACGGAGAAGUGACAGUCCUGCCGGCUGACGGAAUAGCCGGUUGAAGGGUGUAGGAGUCGAUCAUGGUAGGCAAAUCCGCCGUGAGAUCCGAACCUGACAGUAUACUGAGCGCUUGCGCGACGUAAUAUGGACGUAACCAUGCUCCCAAGAAAAUCCGCUAAACUUAUCCAUGCGGCACCCGUACCGUAAACGGACACACGUGGUCGGGUUGAGAAUACUGAGGCGCUCGAGUGACUCACGGUUAAGGAACUAGGCAAAUUGACCCUGUAACUUCGGGAUAAAGGGUCCUCGUCGUAAGGCGAGGCGCAGAGAAUAGGUCCAGGCAACUGUUUAACAAAAACACAUGGCUGUGCUAAAUGGAAACAUGACGUAUACAGCCUGACACCUGCCCGGUGCUGGAAGGUUAAGAGGAGAUGUCAUCGCAAGAGAAGCGUUGAAUUGAAGCCCCAGUAAACGGCGGCCGUAACUAUAACGGUCCUAAGGUAGCGAAAUUCCUUGUCGGGUAAGUUC
rnacentral:rRNA from 1 species